rnacentral:lncRNA from 1 species
ACGGUAGUUAUUCCCUUUCUUAUGUCGCACACAAUUGAGACCUCUCUACCAGUAUUAAGAUCCCCCUUCUUAAAUAGAUUAGAUGCCCUAUGAUUUGAUUACAACUCCCUUUAGAUUAGGAUUCUUAAUCUUAUCCAAAUAGGAAACCGCAUGUUAGAAAAGAGAGAGAGCUCAACUUAUUUAUGUGAACUUCUUCACGC